GCACUGCUGAGGUGUCCCAAAAUAGGACGAAACGGUCGUCCAGUGC
rnacentral:hammerhead_ribozyme from 1 species